rnacentral:sRNA from 1 species
GAGCAAUAAAGCUUUUAAUCACCUGGGUGCAGGUGGGCUGAGUCCGAAAAGAGAGUCAGCGAAGGGAGAUAAGGAUUAAAUGGCUACAGGAUGGGAGUCAAAGCCUCUUUGGAAGAUUGCAUAAUGAUUGCAUCUACAUUCUCAUUGACACAUCUCACUCAAUGAAGAGCAAACUGGACUUGGUGAAGGACAAGAUCAUUCAGUUCAUACAGGAACAGCUGAAAUAUAAAAGUAAGUUUAAUUUUGUGAAGUUUGAUGGUCAAGCAGUUGCUUGGCGGGAACAACUUGCCGAAGUCAAUGAAGAUAGUUUGGAACAGGCUCAGUCCUGGAUUAGAGACAUGAAGAUUGGAAGCUCCACAAACACCCUGAGUGCCCUGAAAACUGCUUUUGCUGACAAAGAAACACAAGCAAUCUACCUUCUGACCGAUGGGAGACCUGAUCAGCCACCUGAAACGGUUAUAGACCAGGUCAAACUUUUUCAGGAAAUUCCUAUUUAUACCAUCUCCUUCAAUUACAACGAUGAGAUUGCAAACAGGUUUUUGAAAGAGGUUGCUGCUU